UACGUAGGGGGCAAGCGUUGUCCGGAAUCAUUGGGCGUAAAGCGCGUGUAGGCGGCCUUGUAAGUCCGUUCUGAAAGCCCGGGGCUCAACCCCGGGAGGCGGAUGGAUACUGCAAGGCUCGAGUACGGAAGAGGCGAGUGGAAUUCCCGGUGUAGCGGUGAAAUGCGCAGAUAUCGGGAGGAACACCAAUGGCGAAGGCAGCUCGCUGGGACGUUACUGACGCUGAGACGCGAAAGCGUGGGGAGCAAACAAG
rnacentral:rRNA from 1 species